rnacentral:rRNA from 2 species
UGGGGAAUAUUGGGCAAUGGGCGAAAGCCUGACCCAGCGACGCCGCGUGAGGGAAGAAGGUCUUCGGAUUGUAAACCUUUGUCAACAGGGACGAAACAAAUGACGGUACCUGAAGAGGAAGCCACGGCUAACUACGUGCCAGCAGCCGCGGUAAUACGUAGGUGGCGAGCGUUAUCCGGAAUUACUGGGUGUAAAGGGUGCGAAGGCGGGUCUGUAAGUCAGAUGUGAAAUGCAAUGGCUCAACCAUUGAACUGCAUUUGAAACUGUGGAUCUUGAGAGUGGGAGAGGUAAUCGGAAUUCCCGGUGUAGCGGUGAAAUGCGUAGAGAUCGGGAGGAACACCAGUGGCGAAGGCGGAUUACUGGACCACAACUGACGCUGAGGCACGAAAGCGUGGGGAGCAAACAGG